UUAUGGCCAUAUCACGUUGAAACAUCGGUUCCCGUAUGAUCCCUGAAGUUAAGCAUCUGGUCAGUACCUAGAUGGGUGACUGCUUGGGAGUACCAGGUCGU